GAUGAAGAACGCAGUGAAAUGCGAUAAGUAAUGUGAAUUGCAGAAUUCAGUGAAUCAUCGAAUCUUUGAACGCACAUUGCGCCCCUUGGUAUUCCGGGGGGCAUGCCUGUUCGAGCGUCAUUUCAACCCUCAAGCUUCUGCUUGGUCUUGGGCCGUGCCGGCAACGGCUGGCCUUAAAACUAGUGGCGGUGCCAUCGAGCUCUACGCGUAGUAAUUCUAUCUCGCGUCUGGGCUUCGGUGGACGCUGGCCAGCAACCCCCAAUUUUCUAUGGUUGACCUCGGAUCAGGUAGGGAUACCCGCUGAACUUAAGCAUAUCAAUAAGCAGAGGA
rnacentral:misc_RNA from 1 species